ACUAUAUACUAAAGCUCCUACACUGUUUAUUAAACAGUGAUUUGGCUUCAAGUGGUUGGACCAUUUUGCCCUCGCUUCAAUUUUUUUUUUUUUCGGGCUCUACCUCGGAUCUGGAUAUCUUCGCAUUGUUUUGCUCUUUCUUCUACAAUCUUCUGACCAUCUUUAUCAAUUGUUGAGAGAGAGAGAGAUCGGUUGUGUGUGUUUGCUUCGCACGAGGAGGUAGAGAGAUAGAUCGGAGGGAAAGUUUGAAUCCUCAAUCCGGGUUUAGAGAUAGAGAGAGUUAGAGAGAUCGGUUGUGUUUGUUUGCUUCGGACGAGGAGGUAGAGAGAUAGAUCGGAGGAAAAGUUUGAAUCUUCAAUCCGACCACAAUAAAGUUCCUUGGUUUGCUGAGUUCUUCUUUGGUUUGAUCAAAGGCUGUGGUUUUGGUAGAUUUUGACAGAGUGAGGAUUGCAGAGAGGCUGUGCGCACAUUAGCAAAGCAGAGCAACUGGUGGAGUUCAAUGCAGCUCCACGUUUUAUUCUAUACUUAUUUUGGCUAGGAAAACAUAGAUAUUUUGGUAUCUGUUUUGCUUGCAUUGUGAUGUGGGUAUCUGUCUUGCUUUGGACUGAAUUUUUUUUUGUCAUAAUUCUAGCUCUGAAAUCUUAGAAUAAAAGUACCAAAAGCCAUCUCUGGAAUCGUAUAAUUGUCAAUACUGAGUGACUACAUUUUGUAUCCAUUAGUAUUCAAAUGUAAUAUACAUGAUUAUUCAAAAUUAGGUCACUUUAAAACAAAUUGCAAACAACGAUUGCUCCGCAGCAAAUCGCGGGCACAUUUUCUAGUCAGAAAUUGAGAGACUUACAGUGGUCGGCCAUGUCGAAGGUGGAGAGGCCGGCGUCGGCGUAGCGGAGCAUGGCCUCAACGGCGUCGUCUCGGUCGAUGCGGCCCCAGGCGCCGCUGGUCUGCCACAUUCCGUUCAGGACUCGGCAUAUGUCCAACGAAUCGUUGCCGUUACUCACUGUGACUCGGUUGGUCUCGCUGCUGCUGCUCACCUGAGUUGCCUCGCCGACGCACCUGACCGAGUUGGACCGCGGUCUGGGCCGAGUUGAAAAUGGUGAUUUGAACGACGUCAGAUUGGGCAGGAGGUUGUGUAAAUGGAGAGUUGCCAUUUUCGCGGGGAGUGUGGAAGCAAUUGGCGGUAAUUGGUGAAGGCUCGGAAAUGAAAUGAUAAGGCGAUGUUCAGAAUAUGUAAAAAGGGCAACUCCAACUAUAGUGA